AAGGAAUAUUGGUCAAUGGACGCAAGUCUGAACCAGCCAUGCCGCGUGAAGGAUGAAGGCCCUCUGGGUUGUAAACUUCUUUUAUCUGGGAAGAAAUGCUUGUUUUUUAACGAGUUUGACGGUACCAGAGGAAUAAGCACCGGCUAACUCCGUGCCAGCAGCCGCGGUAAUACAGAGGGUGCGAGCGUUGUCCGGAGUCACUGGGCGUACAGGGCGCGUAGGCGGCGCGGAUAGUCGGCGGUGAAAGCCCGGAGCUCAACUCCGGGUCGGCCGUCGAUACUUCCGGGCUUGAGCACUGUAGAGGCAGAUGGAAUUCCGGGUGUAGCGGUGGAAUGCGUAGAGAUCCGGAAGAACACCGGUGGCGAAGGCGGUCUACUGGGCAGUUGCUGACGCUGAUGCGCGACAGCGUGGGGAGCAAAC
rnacentral:rRNA from 1 species